CAGCCGCCGCGGGAAUACGAAGGGGGCUAGCGUUGCUCGGAAUCACUGGGCGUAAAGGGUGCGUAGGCGGGUUUCUAAGUCAGGGGUGAAAUCCUGGAGCUCAACUCCAGAACUGCCCUUGAUACUGGAAGUCUUGAGUAUGGGAGAGGUGAGUGGAACUGCGAGUGUAGAGGUGAAAUUCGUAGAUAUUCGCAAGAACACCAGUGGCGAAGGCGGCUCACUGGCCCAUAACUGACGCUGAGGCACGAAAGCGUGGGGAGCAAACAGGAUUAGAUACCCCAGUAGUCCCUGUCUCUUAUAC
rnacentral:rRNA from 1 species